rnacentral:lncRNA from 13 species
GUUGAAUGGAAACGUAAGUCACGUCAGCACUGCACGGGUGUGGAAAACAAAUACAGUCACUUCCACUCGGCUUGCCCAACAAAUCACUCAAGACCAUUUGCCCCUCUUAGCAAAAUAUUUAGUGUCUCCUCAAUUCCUAGUUCUAUUGCUAAGAAUCUUAGGACGUACUCUGUCCAAAGGAGGCAAUACUGCUUCCAAAUGUUAGGAAGAGAGAGAGUCCUGGAAAGUCCAAUAAUCUGCAGCCCCACAAGGAUUUGAGCGAGAGACUUUGUAGUGUAGAUCCCAACGUACAACUGUAGCAGUGCCCUUGUCUGGAUCAUGGCUACUGUGUUCAGGGGAAUUCCAGAGUCAGAUGCCAAUUUGGGUUGAAGCCAUUCCUCUUUCCAAACCCCUGAGGGGUUUGUGUUGAGGUUGGCUAGGCUUCUUUCUUUUCAAUGAUUUCCUCCUGGGGAGAAGGGGGUGGUUGAUGUCUUUUAUAGCUGGCACAUCGUGGUUAGAGGCACCAGAAUCUACUCUUACAAGUCCGUCUAACUUUAAAGUUCAGUGAGCAGUGAGUGAGGUUUUCGUCUUUUUACUCUUCCAGAAAGCCUGAAGUUUUUAAGUGUCUUGGUUCAUACCAAUUCCAGAUUCAUGUUUCAAACAGGUGUCAGAGAGGCAACUUUUGCUAACCCACCAGAUGAUCUAUUACAACCUUACCACAUGACAGUGGAUGGCUACCUUUUCGCCUUGCAUUUACCUCAGAAAUGCUACACAGGAAUGGAAGACCCUAACUGUGUUUCUGCAGACUGACAUCCCAGCCCUCAAAAGAAGUGGGAACUGGGUAUUUUGGUUUCAUAAAUAGAUGUACUUUUUCCUUCAAGUGACAUCGGCUUUAGUUUUAAUUGCUGUUGAGAGUCUUCAUUUGAGGUUUUUUGCUUUGUUUCACCAGGAAUGCAUCUGUAUGCAGAGCUGGAUUAAUGCAUGUUCACCGUAGCAACAGACACUGCACACCCUGGCGAACUGUGGGCCAUCCCAAGAAGCAGUUUAAUGGGGCUUUCUCUUUUUAACAGGAUCUGAGAUUGUGCAAGGUGGUUUUCGGGAGAAUAUGUUCUGGAUAUGGUAUUGUCAGAAAGCAGGGGUAAUCUAUGAUUGGGUAGUUGGGUAUCUUAAUGAAUUUUAUCUAGAAGCAUAAAAAUGUAGAAAGAGGUUAAAUGUUUAAUUGACAAAGAAGAGGGAG